CCCUUAGAUGUUCUGGGCCGCACGCGUGCUACACUGAGUGGAUCAGCGGGUCAGGUUGCGCGAAAGUGUUUCCUAAUCUUGAAAUCCGCUCGUGAUGGGGAUUGACGGUUGCAAUUUUCCGUCAUGAACGAGGAAUACCUUGUAAGCGCGGGUCAUCAUCCCGCGCUGAAUACGUCCCUGCCCUUUGUACACACCGCCCGUCGCUCCUACCGAUUGAGUGGUCCGGUGAGGCUUUGGGAUUUGAGCAAAGAGAGCGUUUCGCUCGUUUUGCCCGGAAAACUCAGUCGAACCUUAUCAUUUAGAGGAAGGAGAAGUCGUAACA
rnacentral:rRNA from 1 species